UACGUAGGGGGCUAGCGUUGUCCGGAUUUAUUGGGCGUAAAGCGCGUGUAGGCGGCCAGAUAGGUCUGCUGUGAAAACUCGAGGCUCAACCUCGAGCUGUCGGCGGAAACCAUUUGGCUAGAGUCCGGAAGAGGAGAGUGGAAUUCCUGGUGUAGCGGUGAAAUGCGCAGAUAUCAGGAAGAACACCCGUGGCGAAGGCGGCUCUCUGGGGACGGUACUGACGCUGAGACGCGAAAAGUGUGGGGAGCGAACAGG
rnacentral:rRNA from 1 species